GUGUCGUGAGAUGUUGGGUUAAGUCCCGCAACGAGCGCAACCCUUGUUAUUAGUUGCCAGCAUUAAGUUGGGCACUCUAAUGAGACUGCCGGUGACAAACCGGAGGAAGGUGGGGAUGACGUCGAGUCAUCAUGCCCCUUAUGACCUGGGCUACACACGUGCUACAAUGGGCAGUACAACGAGAAGCGAGCCUGCGAAGGCAAGCGGAUCUCUUAAAGCUGUUCUCAGUUCGGACUGCAGUCUGCAACUCGACUGCACGAAGCUGGAAUCGCUAGUAAUCGCGGAUCAGCACGCCGCGGUGAAUACGUUCCCGGGCCUUGUACACACCGCCCGUCACACCAUGGAAGUCUGCAAUGCCCGAAGCCGGUGGCCUAACCACUUAUGUGGAAGGAGCCGUCUAAGGCAGGGCAGACGACUGGGGUGAAGUCGUAACAAGGUAGCCGUAGGAGAACCUGCGGCUGGAUCACCUC
rnacentral:rRNA from 1 species